AUGGAUAUGGAUGUACUUCAGGACAUUAUCCCGGAUACUUUCAAUAACAGUAAAGGAAAGGUCCUUCUCGACAAGUUGCAAAGGCUUGUAACAAGUGUUAGUUGGAGUCCGACAGACACCGCUGACCUGUUUCUCGCUCUUCUGGAACGUUUCGAUUCGGCACACUCGGAAAGAUCUCAACUUCUACCAUGGCUGUUAGAGAUCCUACACCUGAUGGAGAUUAAUCUCAUCACUCCUACCUGUAUAUGUCACAAAGGGACAGCUGUUGAAGUGGUCCGCGACGCAGCUGUGACCGAUGGAAUGCUCAAGGACUAUUUUUCUCAAGAGGAGGAGAAGAAGUUGCGUGAGAUUAUUGAGGAAAUCAGACAAACAAAGUUGAACCAUGUCAACGAGGCACUUCUCAGUAAAGUUGAAGGUAUUGUGUCAUCCGUCUAUGAUGCCCUUUGUUCAAAAACUAUUGCAAAGCUCUCUGGCACUGAAGGAGACUUGCUGAGGCUCUGUAGGGCUGCAGAAAGAGCUCAGUUUCGCCCACGACUAACGCAGAUGGUGAGCUGGUGUAUUAUGGCUCUUUCCAAAACCGGACAGUUUAUUCAGGUUGCCACGGGAGAGGGAAAGUCCUGCAUCGUGGCAAUGUUUGCAGCCUUCAAAGCCAUGAAAGGGAAAACUGUGCACAUACUGAGCAGCUCACCGAUCCUUGCAGAAAGAGACAUGGAAGACUGGAAGAAACUUUUCAGUACCUUAAAAAUCAGUGUGGACUGCAACACCAAUAAGCAUGAUAUACCUAGCUUACAAGAGUGUUAUAAGUGUCAGGUUGUCUAUGGUACUGCUGAAAAAUUUGCUGGAGACCAUCUGACACAGGUUUGUGAACGGACAGACAUAUUUGAGCAGAGAAAAUAUCUGUGUGCAAUUGUGGAUGAAGAAGAUUCCAUCAUGCUCGAUAAGGCUCUUCAUAUUAUCUACAUGGGUAAAGACAUACCAGCAUUACAACAUCUUAAUUCACUGUUAGCAUUCAUAUGGACUGUCGUCAACAAAUACAGUGAAAUUGACGCUGAGACCAUCAUCGGGGAUGAACAAAGAAUCCUGAAAAUUAUAAAAGAAGAAGUUGAAAAUUCACUGCAUUUUACACCAUGUGAACUGACGAGAGAUGAUCGCUGCUGUUACGUGCCUGGCUUUCUGUCAGGACUGGUGCGCUCCAAAAUCAACGUUUGGAUCAGAAAUGCACUGAAAGCACAAAAAAUGACCAAGGACCACGAGUAUGUCUUGGAAGGGCAGAGGAUCGUGCCGGUUGAUUACAACUCCACAGGUGUUGUUGAAAACUUCAUGACGUGGUCAGAUGGGUUGCACCAGUUUCUUGAAUUGAAACACAAGUUGAAGUUAAGCAACAUGACACCCAUCUCAAACUACAUGUCCAAUGUUGGCUUACUACAAAAGUAUGGAGCUGAGAUCUUUGGCCUCACUGGUACACUUGGCCAACAAGCAGAGAUGGAAACCUUGGAAAAGCUCUAUGGUAUCAAGACCUGUCAGAUACCUGCAUUCAAACGAAAAAAGUUUUUUGAAGUGGAAGGAGUAAUUGUAGAUGAGGAAACAAAAUGGAUAGAGACAAUCCGCAAUGUUGUCUCAGCACAAAUCAAGGGCACAUGUUACAGGGGCCAAAGAGCCGCAUUGAUCAUCUGUGAGACAAUCAGACGAGCAAAGACCAUUAAAAGAUCUCUCAGAGAUAAAGAAGCAAAGCUUUUUGUCAGCAACAACAUGGACAACAGAGCAAUUUUUGCCAAAGAACUUAUGGGAGGAGACAUCAUCAUAGCCACAAAUCUUGCUGGUCGUGGCACCGAUUUUAAGGUUAGCGAUCAGGUAAAGGCAGAUGGAGGUUUGUUUGUUGUUCAGACGUUCCUGCCUGAAAACAGCCGUGUUGAAGCUCAGGCAUUUGGUCGCACAGCAAGACAAGGAUCUCCGGGGUCGGCUCAACUCAUUGUCUGUCGCAGCCAUUUGCCAGAGCCACUUCAAUGUCUGUCUCUCUUGAGAAAAUUGAUAACUUUGUGGGAAAAUGUACUAAACCUUAAAUCAUGUCAUAGAGCUGAAUUUGUGUUGAUCUUUAAACUCUUUCUGAGAACUCAAUGCAAGGACACCUCACUGCUACGGCAGGCACUGGUUUCCAGUUUGAGCAACACCUCGGAUUUGGAGAUAAACAAGGUAAAAAAUGUGAGGGAUCAGAUUGCAGCUAAAAGGCUUUCUACCCUUUUGGAGCAAGACAUCCCAAAUAUGAAAAUGAAAGAACAUCUGUUUCAAAAGUACCUAAGUGCACGAGAUAAAAUGCCAGCAACUUCCUCUGAAUUAGAGCUCUCCGCACUGAAUGAAUACUGGGGAUUCUGGCUACUCACCAACAGUGAAGACAAUGAUUCCACUGAGAAGUUGGAUGAAAAACUCAGCACAGACCUGGACACUGCGAGAGGACAGCUCCAAAAAGGUGAAUCCCCCUUAUCAAAUCUGCAUUAUUACACUGCCACUGGCAACGAGCUGCUGAAAAGGGGCCUUUUUGAACAAAGUAUCCUGAUGUACUCUAAGGCCAUACUGGAAGACCCCUGUUGGGCAGCAUUUGCAUGUUACAACCGUGCAUUUGCACAUUUACUCCAAAUGAAACCUCAGGAUCAGAACUGCAUUAGGCAAGCUAUGGAAGACCUGCAACAGGCACAGGUGUCCAUUGAACUAUACUGGAACCAGACCAAGUUCACUGAAAGAUGCUACAAACAGCUCGAGCCCAACCCUGAACCUUCAAUCAGCAGGUUUGACCAUCACAUGAAAACCAGACAACAAGUGUUCAUGGCUUUAAAGGAAAACAUUGAUGUGGCCUUGAAGAAAUUAGACAGGGCUAGAGCCAUGGGGAGUGUUGUAAAAGUAGAUAGGGCCAUGGUCUACUUUCUGGUACCUUUAGUGGAUUUGUUGCCCUCACAGAUCUUGUUGGCUGCAAACUGCAAAAAUCCGCUGAAGAUUCUCCAACUUAUGUCCGAUGCAUCCUUUGACAUGUUCCAUGAACUUCUUGGUCUUAAGUCUCUGGGUCUGCCCUACAUCUACACCUUAGACACAGUCUUCUCAUUGGGUGGUUUUUUGUCAAAGAUAUUUAAUUUUUCUGAUUGA
rnacentral:lncRNA from 1 species